UACGUAGGGUGCAAGCGUUGUCCGGAAUUAUUGGGCGUAAAGAGCUCGUAGGCGGUCUGUCGCGUCUGCUGUGAAAACCUAGGGCUUAACUCUGGGCGUGCAGUGGGUACGGGCAGGCUAGAGUGCGGUAGGGGAGACUGGAAUUCCUGGUGUAGCGGUGAAAUGCGCAGAUAUCAGGAGGAACACCGGUGGCGAAGGCGGGUCUCUGGGCCGACACUGACACUGAGAGACGAAAGCUAGGGGAGCGAAUGGG
rnacentral:rRNA from 1 species